rnacentral:miRNA from 1 species
CUUGUCAGAACUCCCACUCAUG